AGAUGGCCAAGAAGUUGCACAGAACUUCCCCAACAUCCCCUCCCAAAUUGAUAUGGAACCUCAAAAACACAUGGAGCAACUGCGAAAAGAAAUGGCUGAGGAUAUGCUAAAAAUGUCUGAAUUCAACAAAGCCAACAACUGCUUCAGGUGUGCCACUGAUAAAGAACCUGGAUGUGGCCCAAAGACUGACUGGAUUGAAUGUUUUGCAUGCCAACGGUGGUUCCAUGUGCUGUAACUAGGAAUGAAGAGGCUCUGAAAUGUACAUCAACCAGGGAUAAAGAGGAAGUUAACACUGUGAAAUGUUUCAUACUUAUUUGAAGUUAAGUGUCUGUUGACAUGUUGGAAAAGAUUAAAGGUGUACAAUUUCUGUUUAAUUUGUCAAUAUUACAUUUUUCUUAAUUGAUUUACUGGCCACCAUUACUGUGGUUACAUGUUCAGUAUAUGUAUUGACCAGCAAACCCACUGCAGCCUACCUCACCAGCUCACUCUCCAUCCCUGCUUUGGAUAAUUAAUAGCAUGACUCUCGUACUUUGCCCUUUUCCUUUAUGGUUGUUAUUAACGACGAAAGGAGAUAUUAUCUGUCUCUCUCCUAUUGUG